CGGCUUCCCGCUCGGCUGUGGGGGUAACUGAGGCGUGAAGCGAAGCUGCGGAGAAGGGCCACGCCCCGGCCCCGUCUCGUCCUGUCUUGAAUCUGAAAACAGCCUUGAACAAGGCAGACAAUGUGGAUGGUAUUUACCCCAGAGCAGGGCUCCAGCCUGGACUUCUGUGUCUUCUUCUGGAAGGGACGAACUGGCUGCUUUUCCACGGACACCAUUUGUACUUGAAGGAAAGACUAACGGACUCUGGUGAGUGUCCUAGUUGUUAUGGCUCCAUAACUCCAAACUCAGUGCCUUAGACCAGCAAGGGUA